rnacentral:rRNA from 1 species
GACGAACGCUGGCGGCGUGCCUAAUACAUGCAAGUAGAACGCUGAAGGAGGAGCUUGCUUCUCCGGAUGAGUUGCGAACGGGUGAGUAACGCGUAGGUAACCUGCCUGGUAGCGGGGGAUAACUAUUGGAAACGAUAGCUAAUACCGCAUAACAGUAGAUAUCGCAUGAUAUCUGCUUGAAAGGUGCAAUUGCAUCACUACCAGAUGGACCUGCGUUGUAUUAGCUAGUUGGUGAGGUAACGGCUCACCAAGGCGACGAUACAUAGCCGACCUGAGAGGGGGAUCAGCCACACUGGGACUGAGACACGGCCCAGACUCCUACGGGAGGCAGCAGUAGGGAAUCGUCGGCAAUGGGCGGAAGUCUGACCGAGCAACGCCGCGUGAGUGAAGAAGGUUUUCGGAUCGUAAAGCUCUGUUGUAAGAGAAGAACGAGUGUGAGAGUGGAAAGUUCACACUGUGACGGUAUCUUACCAGAAAGGGACGGCUAACUACGUG